GUGGGGCUUGCAUAUCACCCGGAAGGGGAGGAACCAGGUUUUCGUCAGAGGAGUUCUUGAAUGACCUCAGACCAGAUUGAAUGACCUCAGACCAGAAGGAAUAGGCCAGCAGCGAGAACACAGCCUAGAGCAGGCUAAGCGUCAUCAAAAAGUCAGACAAAGGGCUAAAGAUGCAGCGUCAAGAGCCAGGAGACUUUCCCGAGAAGAAGAUGAGAAGCCAUGCGAGCUGCUCUCUAUCAUGAAAAGCCAAAGCUGGGUCCCCAAGCAGGGAAAUGUGCGGCAGCUCCUGUGUUUAGAUCCCAGCUGCCAAAUCUGUGAGGCUGCGACUGAAGAGAUUCAGCAGUUAGUGCAGAGUGAGAAAAGUCAGCUCUCCCCUGCUUUUUGGGGACUGAACCAGGGUUCUGCUCACUCUGCACACCUGGAGACGUUACCCAUGUCUUUUGAACAGAAUAUGGAGCUCUGUUCCAGGCACACCAGACCUCAUCCACGGGUGCCUGGAAACCAAACACUAACACAACUAACGGGACACUUAACACAGUUGACCAACACAUUCGGGGUUCAAGAAUGCUAGACUGAUCGUCUCCAGCUAGACCAAAAUUUUCAUCUCGCCAACAUGCCCAUGGUCUCAGAGACUGUGACUUCUUCAAGGCUCAAGGAACCUAUGGUUUUAAUGAUUGAGGAAACAAUAGUGCAAAGCAAAGCAAAGCUUGACCAGGAAAGCCAAGACCUUCAUCACGUGAAGAACUGUGUCUUUAUUACCCCUGGACCCAAACUUGACACAUACUAUGUCCUUACAUAUGGACUCAAUGCUGUCUUCCCAUCUGCCAUUACUUAGUCCUAAAGUCCGUGGGCUUCUUGAACUACAGGUAAAAAAAUGCAUACAUUUCCAGAAGUGGGGUCGUCCGAGACGUGUGGAGGAGUCCCUGAGGCAGCUCAUGCCAGACCCAACAUUAUUUCGUCGAUCUCGAGAAAAUCCAUCUUCCUGCACUCUGAGCAGCAGUUCUAAGGUCAUUGAGGACAGAACUGGGAUCGUUUCCCACAAGACCAGCAGCUUGUAUUCGGCAGGCCAGCCCGUCCAGACCUUCUGGGUUUUCAAAUGGCCUGUUAUAAACCUGCAACAAGGAAGGCCCUGGCACCAAAUUCAUACUUGCUUGCCCUCUCAUGAAGGUGAACAUCUAAGGAAUUUCUAUCCACUCCCCAGGGCAAAAGCUAAUGACUCAGGGGACAAUCUUCAGAGUGAAUAUUAUAGCCAGUUAUUCUGUGGCCUUCCAUCUCUUCACAGUGAGUCCUUGGAUGUUACUUACUCUCGGGCCUUUUCUUACCCAAAACACCAUGUAAGUCAGCCUUUCCCUCUUCCCCGACCUCUCUGAAUGGCAAGACUCCCUGUGAGCGUGAAGGAGCACAGAUUACUGUCCCGUUCCUGUCGCUGGCUGAGUGUGAAGCACUGGAACGCCACCUCCUAAAGAAACAACUCAGCAAGCUUCAGUGGGGCCUGCCAGCUCUCCUCCUCCAAAACCAGCGCCGAAUGCUGUGUGAAGCACCCAGUGAGGCUAAGACAGUAAAAACUUCCUUGGCAAGGAAGCCCUUUUUACAUCCCACCAGGGACAUCUUCCCAGAGCACGCAGGAAGGCUGCUGGAAUUCCACCUGCAGAAGCAUCUGAUUCACCUCCGCUGGGGGCUGCCCCAGAGGAUCCAGCGCUCCAUGAAUAUGCUGCUCUCCUCAACAGACCCGCAGUCCCUGCCCUGUGGCAGCAGUAGCUUACCCAAUGUGAGCAUCUCACAGCCCGGGAAACCAGAGGCCAAUGGGCCUGGUGACAUGUUCUCACUCACAGCGGGCAAAAGGGACAAUCCCCAUGCCACACUUGUUUGCCAAGACAAGGGAAAUGUUGAAAAGCCAUGUUGAUUCCAAAUGUGAACAGAUCCGGGAGGGCAAGGUCCCGGCCCAAGUCUGGAAAUCUUGGGAAUGCAAAAUUCCUGGAAGCUUAGCAACAGUGGCUCCCUUCCCUUGGAUUCCACAAGGCCAAUGCAGGAAGUUACAGGCAGAAAGUAAAAGUGACCCUGACUUACUUCACAAAGUUGUUCCCUGGAAACCAAAGACCCUCAGCCAGGAGACACAAACCUUAUCUGGUACUCUCUUUGAACACUGUAAGAAGCCCCAAUCCCUGCCUAAGGAAACCAUUAAGAAACUGGAGACAACUUUACAUCAUAAGUAUCUGGCCUUCCUGUCAGGCCUGCCUGCCCUUUACUGUGUAGCUCUCUCUAGGCCUGCAUCCCCAGCAGUCACUAGCCAACCUAGACUCAGAGAGAAGAUGCCCAAAGCUGUCAAAAGCCCAUCAAAUGCUCUGACUCAAAUAACCCCACUUGAGCCCUGCGCUCAGGAUGACAGUGGGGUGUCUGCGGACACUGCAGAAGAGUUCCAGCCUGGAGCAGAGGCGGACAGAAGGACAGAGAAGGUGCCUGCAGAGAGUCAGCCUCCCCCAUGCAGACCCUACCCAAUAAACACACAUAUCUUGGCCAAACUGAAUUUCCACCUGAAAAAAAAGAUCCUAGCAAUGCAGUUUGGGAUUUCUGAAAAGGAAAAGAGAGAAUACAAGGAGCUGGGUACAGCCGACCUAGAGAGCGAAUCCAUCCAGGAAUUUCUCAGAAGUCUACACAUGUCAGAGAGCACACUGCUUCAGGAACAGCCUGUCGCAUGCCCAUCUCUGCCAGCCCCAAAUGCAAAAGGGGUCCACCCUAAAAAACAGCCAGCUUCUGCAGUACAGGAUGUGUGUCAGGCGCAAAGGCCUCCUCCUUCCAAAGCAGUGCCCCAUAGUUCUGCCCAGCAGAGCUCCAAGGCCUCGCAAUCCCAAAGGGAUAAGACCCAAGUCUGUGUUGACAUGGAAGCUGGAGGGAAAAGGUUCAACCUAGAGAAAUCCAAAGUCGUGGGGGACCUUGGAGAAGGGGACGCAGGUCUUGGGUUUUCCCUGGUCAGUCAAAAGACACGCCAGGAUGGAGAGCAGGAGAAGAGGCUCCUGCACAGACCACUCCAGGGCUCCUCACAACAGGGUCACACCUUUCAUCUUGAGGAUGCCUGUCCACACAGUCCCCGGGAGUCCCCUGAGCUCCAGUUCCCAGACCCACCUCCAGAAGUCUUCAUGGAGACAGACUCUGAGCAGGACAUGGAAGACAGUCAAAGCGAGGAAUCCAUUGUCCCAGAUCGUCCUCUGAGAAGUCAGUGAUGGCCUCCUUAUUAACUGCUCCCCAUAUUGUAGACAGUAAGCUCCGGCCUCGCUCCCGGCAGCUUGGCUCUGUCUCAAUAUUAGGCAACUCCCGCCAUUGCCCUCGGCACUGUCCUAGGUUGGCUUAUGCCACUCACCACAGAAACCUACCCUAGCUCCCAGGGUUUACUUCAGAAAUGCUCUUCUGGUAUUGGAGACCGCCCUGCAUGGUGACAGUUUCUAGGCUCCCCAACCUCUGUAUCCCUUUAAGAGCACAGCAUUGUCAUUUUCUUUGAUGAACAGGUAGGGACUGCACUACCCAAAAUGUAUUUUCUAUCUCCGAAUGAGUUGUCUGUCGUCUUUGUCUCUGCUGUACAUUAUUAAGAGAAGGUAUGAAGGAAAUAAAAAUGCCCUCAUCCUGGGAAGGAGACUUGAACUU